UAAUACGGAGGGUGCAAGCGUUAUCCGGAUUCACUGGGUUUAAAGGGUGCGUAGGUGGGUCUGUAAGUCCGUGGUGAAAUCUCCAAGCUUAACUUGGAAACUGCCGUUGAUACUAUAGACCUUGAAUGCUGUGGAGGUGAGCGGAAUAUGUCAUGUAGCGGUGAAAUGCUUAGAUAUGACAUAGAACACCAAUUGCGAAGGCAGCUCACUACCCAGAUAUUGACACUGAGGCACGAAAGCGUGGGGAUCAAACAGGAUUAGAUACCCUGGUAGUCCACGCCCUAAACUAUGGAUACUCGACAUACGCGAUACACAGUGUGUGUCUGAGCGAAAGCAUUAAGUAUCCCACCUGGGAAGUACGACCGCAAGGUU
rnacentral:rRNA from 1 species